rnacentral:misc_RNA from 1 species
GAUGAAGAACGCAGCGAAAUGCGAUACGUAAUGUGAAUUGCAGAAUUCAGUGAAUCAUCGAGUCUUUGAACGCACAUUGCGCCUUUUGGUAUUCCGAAAGGCACGUCUGUUCGAGCGUCAGUAAAAACCCUUCCGGACCGGUGUGUUUGUGAAAACCGCCUGGCCUCGGGACCCUGGCGUGGGGAAGUGACCGCAGUGUCUCCGGACACUGCUGGUUUCCCCCGCUUAAACGCGGAGAAAGCUAGCGGGCAAUUGGCCUACACAAUGCGACAACUCGUAAAACCCUUAUAGGUUGUAACCGUCAUAGUGGACCUGCCCCGCCUCUUGCAACCGUAAAGGGCUCUUCAAAAGGCUCUUUUUCUGAACUCUUGACCUCGGAUCAGAUGAGGAUACCCGCUGAACUUAAGCAUAUCAAUAAGCGGAGGA